rnacentral:misc_RNA from 1 species
ACAUAGCCCUGAUUGAGGCGGCAUCCUGCCGGCGCAGCAAGGCAGAUAUAGCCGAAAGCAGGAACUGAA